CCUUCGGGUCUAGUGGCGCACGGGUGCGUAACGCGUGGGAAUCUGCCCUUAGGUACGGAAUAACAGUGAGAAAUUACUGCUAAUACCGUAUGAUGUCUUCGGACCAAAGAUUUAUCGCCUAGGGAUGAGCCCGCGUUGGAUUAGCUAGUUGGUGGGGUAAAGGCCUACCAGGGCGACGAUCGUUAGCUGGUUUGAGAGGAUGAUCAGCCACAUUGGGACUGAGACACGGCCCAA
rnacentral:rRNA from 1 species